AGUGAACGCUGGCGGUAGACCUAACACAUGCAAGUCGAACGGCAGCACAGUAAGAGCUUGCUCUUACGGGUGGCGAGUGGCGGACGGGUGAGGAAUACAUCGGAAUCUACUUUUUCGUGGGGGAUAACGUAGGGAAACUUACGCUAAUACCGCAUACGACCUACGGGUGAAAGCAGGGGAUCUUCGGACCUUGCGCGAUUGAAUGAGCCGAUGUCGGAUUAGCUAGUUGGCGGGGUAAAGGCCCACCAAGGCGACGAUCCGUAGCUGGUCUGAGAGGAUGAUCAGCCACACUGGAACUGAGACACGGUCCAGACUCCUACGGGAGGCAGCAGUGGGGAAUAUUGGACAAUGGGCGCAAGCCUGAUCCAGCCAUACCGCGUGGGUGAAGAAGGCCUUCGGGUUGUAAAGCUCUUUUGUUGGGAAAGAAAAGCAGCAGGUUAAUACCCCGCUGUUCUGACGGUACCCAAAGAAUAAGCACCGGCUAACUUCGUG
rnacentral:rRNA from 1 species